rnacentral:rRNA from 1 species
CCUACGGGAGGCAGCAGUGGGGAAUAUUGCGCAAUGGGCGAAAGCCUGACGCAGCGACGCCGCGUGAGGGAUGAAGGUCUUCGGAUCGUAAACCUCUGUCAGCAGGGAAGAACGGUCACUGUGCUAAUCAGCAGUGAAUUGACGUUACCUGCAAAGGAAGCACCGGCUAACGCCGUGCCAGCAGCCGCUGGAAUACGGAGGGUGCUAGCGUUUAUCGGAAUUACUGGGCGUAAAGCUCUCGUAGUGGGUAUGUCAAGUCAAGGGUGAAAGCCCCGGGCUCAACGUGGGAACUGCAUUUGAAACUGGCAGACUGGAGUGUGUGAGAGGAUGGUGGAAUUCCAGGUGUAGGAGUGAAAUCCGUAGAUAUCUGGAGGAACAUCAGUGGAGAAGGCGACUAUCUGGAACAUAACUGACGCUGAGGAGCGAAAGCGUGGGUAGCAAACAGGAUUAGAUACCCGAGUAGUA